rnacentral:piRNA from 1 species
UCAGGCACUUUGCCCCGCAGCUGGCAGC